rnacentral:rRNA from 1 species
AGCUAUGGCCAUACCAUAUGAACAUAAUCUAAGAAGCUAAACAGGGCCAGGCCUGGUUAGUAUUUGGCUAGGAGACUACCUGGGAAUACCAGGUGCAGCAGACU